rnacentral:rRNA from 1 species
AUUGAACGCUGGCGGCAGGCCUAACACAUGCAAGUCGAACGAGUGGCGGACGGGUGAGUAAUGUCUGGGAAACUGCCUGAUGGAGGGGGAUAACUACUGGAAACGGUAGCUAAUACCGCAUACCAUCGGAUGUGCCCAGAGGGGAUUAGCUAGUAGGUGGGGUAACGGCUCACCGAGGCGACGAUCCCUAGCUGGUCUGAGAGGAUGACCAGCCACACUGGAACUGAGGCACGGUCCGAACUCCUACGGGAGGCAGCCGUGGGGAAUAUGGCACAAGGGGCGAAAGCCUGAUGCAGCCAUGCCGCGUGUAUGAAGAAGGCCUUCGGGUUGUAAAGUACUUACAGCGGGGAGGCGUUACCCGCAGAAGAAGCACCGGCUAACUCCGUGCCAGCAGCCGCGGUAAUUC